rnacentral:rRNA from 1 species
AUUGAACGCUGGCGGCAGGCCUAACACAUGCAAGUCGAGCGGAGCGGCGGACGGGUGAGUAAUGCCUAGGAAUUGGCCUGGUGGUGGGGGAUACGGUCGGGAAAGGGGAGCUAUAACGGAUACCUAUAGACUGGGCCUGGGCCGGAGUAGCUAGUUGUUGGGGUAAAGGCAUACCAGGGCGACGAUCCGUAACUGGUCUGAGAGGAUGAGCAGUCACACUGGAACUGAGACACGGUCCAGACUCCUACGGGAGGCAGCAGUGGGGAAUAUUGGACAAUGGGCGAAAGCCUGAUCCAGCCAUGCCGCGUGUGUGAAGAAGGUCUUCGGAUUGUAAAGCACUUUAAGUUGGGAGGCGUUACCAACAGAAUAAGCACCGGCUAACUUCGUGCCAGCAGCCGCGGUAAUUC